GAUGAACGCUGGCGGCGUGCUUAACACAUGCAAGUCGAACGAUGACGACCGAGCUUGCUCGGUCUGAUUAGUGGCGAACGGGUGAGUAACACGUGAGCAACCUGCCCUUCACUCUGGGAUAACCUCGGGAAAUCGGGGCUAAUACCGGAUAUGAGCUCCUGUCGCAUGGCGGGUGUUGGAAAGUUUUUCGGUGAAGGAUGGGCUCGCGGCCUAUCAGUUUGUUGGUGAGGUAGUGGCUCACCAAGGCGAUGACGGGUAGCCGGCCUGAGAGGGCGACCGGCCACGCUGGGACUGAGACACGGCCCAGACUCCUACGGGAGGCAGCAGUGGGGAAUAUUGCACAAUGGGCGAAAGCCUGAUGCAGCGACGCCGCGUGAGGGAUGACGGCCUUCGGGUUGUAAACCUCUUUCAGCAGGGAAGAAGCGAAAGUGACGGUACCUGCAGAAGAAGCGCCGGCUAACUACGUG
rnacentral:rRNA from 1 species